rnacentral:rRNA from 1 species
UUGACGGAGAGUUUGAUCCUGGCUCAGGACGAACGCUGGCGGCGGGCCUAACACAUGCAAGUCGAACGAGAUGCCUUCGGGCAUCUAGUGGCGAACGGGUGAGUAAUACGUGAGGAACCUGCCCCGAAGACGGGGAUAACCGUGGGAAACUGCGGCUAAUACCCGAUGUCCCCGAUGCGGCGCAUGCCGCGACGAGGAAAUGCUCCGGUGCUUCGGGAGGGCCUCGCGGCCUAUCAGCUAGUUGGUGAGGUAACGGCUCACCAAGGCUUCGACGGGUAGCUGGUCUGAGAGGACGAUCAGCCACACUGGGACUGAGACACGGCCCAGACUCCUGCGGGAGGCAGCAGUGGGGAAUCUUGCGCAAUGGGCGAAAGCCUGACGCAGCCACGCCGCGUGGGGGACGAAGGCCCUCGGGUUGUAAACCCCUUUCAGCAGGGACGAAAAUGACGGUACCUGCAGAAGAAGCUCCGGCCAACUACGUGCCAGCAGCCGCGGUAACACGUAGGGAGCGAGCGUUGUCCGGAUUUAUUGGGCGUAAAG